UAGGGAAUAUUGCCCAAUGGACGAAAGUCUGAGGCAGCAACGCCGCGUGUGUGAUGAAGGCCUUCGGGUCGUAAAGCACUUUUCUGGGAGAUGAGAAAGGACAGUAUCCCAGGAAUAAGUCUCGGCUAACUACGUGCCAGCAGCCGCGGUAAAACGUAGGAGGCAAGCGUUAUCCGGAUUCACUGGGCGUAAAGCGCGUGCAGGCGGUGCGGUAAGUUAGGCGUGAAAUCUCCCGGCUCAACUGGGAGAGGUCGUCUAAUACUACCGUACUAGAGAGCAGAAGAGGAAGAUGGAAUUCCCGGUGUAGUGGUGAAAUGCGUAGAUAUCGGGAGGAACACCAGUGGCGAAGGCGAUCUUCUGGUCUGUUUCUGACGCUCAGACGCGACAGCUAGGGUAGUAAACGGGAUUAGAGACCCCGGUAAUCCUAGCCGUAAACGAUGUGAACUUGGCGUUGGUGGGUUAAACUCCAUCAGUGCCGUAGCAAACGCGAUAAGUUCACCGCCUGGGGACUACGGCCGCAAGGUUAC
rnacentral:rRNA from 1 species